rnacentral:hammerhead_ribozyme from 1 species
AUCCAGCUGACGAGUGCCAAAUAGGACAAAACGUGCGUCAAACUGGAU